UGGAGAGUUUGAUCCUGGCUCAGGAUGAACGCUAGCGGCAGGCCUAACACAUGCAAGUCGAGGGGGAAGUUACUUUCGGGUGACUGAGACCGGCGUACGGGUGCGUAACGCGUAUACAAUCUGCCUUUCACUGGGGGAUAGCCCGAAGAAAUUUGGAUUAAUACCCCAUAGUAUAGUAAUACGGCAUCGUGAUACUAUUAAAGCUUAGGUGGUGAAAGAUGAGUAUGCGUUCUAUUAGCUAGUUGGAGAGGUAAUGGCUCCCCAAGGCUACGAUAGAUAGGGGUUCUGAGAGGGAUGUCCCCCACACUGGUACUGAGAUACGGACCAGACUCCUACGGGAGGCAGCAGUGAGGAAUAUUGGACAAUGGUCGGAAGACUGAUCCAGCCAUGCCGCGUGCAGGAUGACUGCCCUAUGGGUUGUAAACUGCUUUUGUAAGGGAAGAAUAAGGGCUACGCGUAGUUUGAUGACGGUACCUUACGAAUAAGCAUCGGCUAACUCCGUGCCAGCAGCCGCGGUA
rnacentral:rRNA from 1 species